CAAUCUGCCCUUCACUCUGGGACAAGCCCUGGAAACGGGGUCUAAUACCGGAUACGACCUCCGACCGCAUGGUCUGGUGGUGGAAAGCUCCGGCGGUGAAGGAUGAGCCCGCGGCCUAUCAGCUUGUUGGUGGGGUGAUGGCCUACCAAGGCGACGACGGGUAGCCGGCCUGAGAGGGCGACCGGCCACACUGGGACUGAGACACGGCCCAGACUCCUACGGGAGGCAGCAGUGGGGAAUAUUGCACAAUGGGCGAAAGCCUGAUGCAGCGACGCCGCGUGAGGGAUGACGGCCUUCGGGUUGUAAACCUCUUUCAGCAGGGAAGAAGCGAGAGUGACGGUACCUGCAGAAGAAGCGCCGGCUAACUACGUGCCAGCAGCCGCGGUAAUACGUAGGGCGCAAGCGUUGUCCGGAAUUAUUGGGCGUAAAGAGCUCGUAGGCGGCUUGUCGCGUCGGAUGUGAAAGCCCGGGGCUUAACCCCGGGUCUGCAUUCGAUACGGGCAGGCUAGAGU
rnacentral:rRNA from 1 species